rnacentral:lncRNA from 1 species
AUUAAAAAAAUUCUCUCUCUCUUUAAAAAAAAAAAUGGGGGCUUGGGUGGCUCAGUGGUAGAGCACUCGCCUAGCACAUGCAAGGCCUGGGUUCGCUCCUCAGCACCACAUAAAAACAAGUAAAUAAAAUAAAGGUAUUGUGUCCAACUACAAUUAAAAAAUAAAUAUUAAAAAAAAGACCUGGGUGUUUAUCAGAGUUUUAGAGUUUUAUUGUUACCAGGAGAGUCACAAUUGCCUUCCCACUGCACUGGUUUAGAAAGAGAUAGGAGUCUUACUCUCUUCUGUAGAUGGCAGUCUACCUAGACUGUCUCUGAGCAUUCAUGUUGGAUUCCUGCUAAGAGCCUGCAACAUUGGGACAUGCUCAGAGGGGAGGGACCAGGUAGGUUGGGUUUCUUAGAAGGGAAUAGAAGUAGUAGAGAGUCACUAUUGCAGCACUCCAGUCAGAAUAGCAGCUAUUAUGAAGAUAAGCAACAAUAAGUGUUGUUGAGGAUGUGAGGGAAAAAAGGCACACUCAUACAUUGCUGGUGGGACUGCAAAUUGGUGCUGCCAAUAUGGAAAGCAAUAUAGGGAUUCCUUGGGAAUCUGGGAAUGGAACCACCAUUUGACCCAGCUAUCCCUCUACCUAACCCAAGACUUAAAAUAGCAUACUACAGGGACACAGCCACAUCAAUGUUUAUAGCAGCACAAUUCAUAAUAGCUAAACUGUGGAGCCAACCUAGAUGCCCUAGAGUGGAUGAGUAGAUAAAAAAAAAUG